rnacentral:sRNA from 1 species
CUGGCCUGGUUCUCUGGGAGGCAGAGGUCCCUGAUAACCCUGGAGCUGACUCUGUGUCCAGAGCACUGAAUGCCAGGGCCAGAGAAUCCUGCAUGACAGUGACCCAAGCAUGUUUCCUCGAACCCUCCCUUUCAUCUAUUCCAUUCUCAACCCCCUGGUCGCUAGGCAGUGGCCCUAGCAACGGGCCUAGUGGAGUGCUAAAGCCUGGGGGCCACCGUUCCACCGCGGGAGACCUGUAGUUACCUGUCCUCUGAUAACAGACCCCACAUCAGCCCAAAAUUUCUUCACCAGGGACCUUACGCACCCUGUCCUCGGUCCCCUGAGAUACCUUGCUAUCCCCUUCCCUUCAGAUAUCAACAGUGACGGUGUCCUGGAUGAGCAGGAGCUGGAGGCCCUCUUCACCAAGGAGCUGGAGAAAGUGUACGACCCAAAGAAUGAGGAGGACGACAUGCGGGAGAUGGAGGAGGAGCGACUGCGCAUGCGGGAGCAUGUGAUGAAGAAUGUGAGGUGGGGGCCAGGCGGGGGAGA